CCUACGGGAGGCAGCAGUAGGGAAUAUUGCUCAAUGGGGGAAACCCUGAAGCAGCAACGCCGCGUGGAGGAUGAAGGUUUUCGGAUUGUAAACUCCUUUUGUUAGAGAAGAUAAUGACGGUAUCUAACGAAUAAGCACCGGCUAACUCCGUGCCAGCAGCCGCGGUAAUACGGAGGGUGCAAGCGUUACUCGGAAUCACUGGGCGUAAAGAGGGCGUAGGGGGGAUAGCAAGUCAGAUGUGAAAUCCUAUGGCUUAACCAUAGAACUGCAUUUGAAACUGUUAUUCUAGAGUAUGGGAGAGGUAGGUGGAAUGCUUGGUGUAGGGGUAAAAUCCGUAGAGAUCAAGAGGAAUACUCAUUGCGAAGGCGACCUGCUAGAACAUAACUGACGCUGAUGCGCGAAAGCGUGGGGAGCAAACAGGAUUAGAUACCCCUGUAGUC
rnacentral:rRNA from 1 species